rnacentral:rRNA from 1 species
UUUAUGGAGAGUUUGAUCCUGGCUCAGGAUGAACGCUGGCGGCGUGCCUAAUACAUGCAAGUCGAGCGAACGGACGAGAAGUUUGCUUCUCUGAUGUUAGCGGCGGACGGGUGAGUAACACGUGGAUAACCUACCUAUAAGACUGGGAUAACUUCGGGAAACCGGAGCUAAUACCGGAUAAUAUUUUGAACCGCAUGGUUCAAA